GCUUCUUGUGCAUUUACGUCUCAUCAAAGCGCUGCGCAGCGCGGCGUAUGAAAACAAAAACAAACAAACAACAAAAAAAAUAAUACAGCGCGGCGGGCGGCCGUGGAUGUGGCGCGGAAGCCUCACGCGAGGGGUCUUCGGUCCACCGCUGUUCUGGGUCACCGGUCUCCCCCUCUGGGUCCGAUGCCCAAUGAGGACAUUGACUGGACAACCGGAGAGAUGUUUGGUGGAAGACCUACAGGAGGAGGAGAAUAAAAAAGGCAAGUGAAUAGCUGUUAUUUUCACAAGAGCUAUAUGAUCAAAUGUAGAUGCAUCAGUGUGAGUCAGUGAACAUUGAUUGUUGUUGUGGGCAGCCACUGAGCCUGUCAACAUAGGGCUCCCAUAUCAGCAUCCCUCCAGGAAGACUGAGGUGAAGGAAAGGAAGAAGGUGAUGCUGGAGAACACAAAUAACCCUGAGAUAGAAAGAGACAAUCGACUACGAACAUAUAAGAGAGAGCCAGUGUUUGAGUACAACAGAUCUCCAGUGUAUCACCCUCCACAGAAGAAAUACCCUCACGGACAGACUCUCAGAUACCUGGACCGCUACAGAGAUGGAGCCCAAAGCACCUAUUGCAUUUAUUAAACACUGUACUACUGAAACAGCAGGGCUUUUGUUUGUGAUAAACUUAAAGUUAUCUGCUGCGUGGUGAUCUGUCUUUAAAAUUGCUUUAAUUAGCA